UGUUGUAGUUAUUGUUCGUUAAAUUUAAUCUAUAGAUUUUGUUUUUGAUAAAUUUGGGCUAAUAAUAUUUUUGUUGAAUUUAAUAAGUAAUAUGGAUUGUUUGUAAGUAAGUGAGGUAGAUUCUGUACUUCUAUGAAGAGAGAUAGAUGGAUUGUAAUGUUGAUUCUAGUGUCAAGACCUUCCUAGUACUCUAUAUCCAACCUUAAAUUCAUUCAACUAGAUAUCAACUAUGUAGAGUCUUGUUAAAUAGUUCUUUACUUGUAUUUUUAGUUCAUGAGGAUUAUCAAAAACUUGCAUCUAAAUAAUGAGAUCAACCACUCUUCAAUUGCAUUGUUCACUUGUUCUACUUCUAUUGUGAAGGAACAAUGUUAAUUUUUUAUUCAAAUCUAACUACUUAGGGUGAGGACUAGGAUUAAGCCAUAUUUAUAUAGAUGUGCACACAAAGAGAUGAAGAGAGAUUAGACACUAACAAUUGCAUUAUUCACUAGCUCUACUUAUGUUGUGAAGGCAUGAUGCAAAUUCCAAUUUGAUUCUCAUGCUAUGGAUGGUAAUCAUGUUAAUCUCUCUUUUAUUACAUGAUUUGUGUAUACUAUUUCAUCUAUUAUGGGUCAUGGUUUUAAUGCUAAUUAAGUAAUUUCAUUAUAUAGUGUAGGGAUCCAUUAUAAUUUACACAUUAUUGUAUAUUCUAUGCAUUGAACAAAUUAUUAUCAAAUUAGUUAUGAAUUAAACAUAGAUGAUAAAUAUAGUAUCUUCUAAAAAAAUUGUUUGAAUUUAGCUAUUAAAUUUGAUGAAGAUGUAACCCCUUUGGUAUUUCUAUGCUUCUCUUCACAAAUCUAGUCAUGAUGUGUCAAACCAAUUGUACUACUUAACGUUAUUUCAUGAAAUAACUUUAUAAUUUCUCAUUUUAUUGUUGAUAUGAUCUAAAAAUGUGCAUUUAGUUGUACAAACAUUCAUAUGUACAGGUUAUUGGAGAUGAGACAAAAACUUUGCAAGGUAAUGUGAGGUGGACAAUGGGCCCAAACCUUUUUACAAUGUAAGGAUGUUACCAAAUGAAUAACCAACAAAAGCAAAAAGGAGUAAUACUGUCGAACCAUCAAACUGAAGGGAGAGCAAAAUAGCAAGAGACAUAACCAAACAGCCAAAAUUCUGCAAAACCAACACACCUGAAAAGAGAUACAACAGAACAAUGAAAGUUGAAAUCAGCUAUAAUGAAAGUUGGGGCUGAACUUUAACCCCAGUGGAAAUUUCUGUGAGGGAAAUACCAUUAAGGACUGACUAUUUUCUUUCUAAGAAGAAUUUUCAAUGAAGCCACAUCAUUGCAUUUAGAAACCUUUGGAGCAGAGUAGGAUGCACCUACAGAGCAUAUUGAAGGAUUCCCACCCUGACAAGCACCUAGAGUGGAGGGCGAGACCUUAUAUAUUGGAGACAUAUUAUCAAGGACCACUGAAGGGAGAGAAAAGACAUUCAAGCCUCUAGAAGUAGGGGCACCCAGAGAAGCGCUCCGAGCAGUCCAAAGCGAUGAGAAAAACAGUUGUCAAGAUGAAACAGCUGUCAAAUUGUAUGGAGCACCCUCUGCUCCCUGAAGCAGAAUGGUGCUGGCAUAUCUGAAAGAGAAAAAUAUUGAAUGCCCUUUUGUUAAUGUAGAGAAGAAACCAGGGUUCAUGGCUUUACAUGUAUGGGACCUACCUUCCUUACAAUAUAAUAUUUUUCGGUUGUUGGUUGCACAAGUGCUAAAGCGGGUUAUGUUGUUUGUAAUUUGUAUUUGUGUCACGCAGCGCUUUGGAAAUGUUCCAGUAGUCCGGGAUUGGAGAGGUCACGCUCUUUAGUAAUGAUAUUAAUUGUUACAUGGGUA